rnacentral:lncRNA from 1 species
UUUUUUCUCUACAACAGAUCAGCAGUAAUCGAGAGAGAUACAGAUCGACCUCAUCUCUCUGAUAGAAAUUAACGAUAGAGAGGUGGGAGAGAGGACUAGCAACCACGGGAUGAUACCCAAUGUGAUUGGUGAUGAUUUGCAAUCUCAAAUCCUCUCUAACUCGGGUACUAUUUUACCUCAACCUUGAACAGAUUGAUUUUUCAUUGAUUUGGAUUGACACUCAUCUGAAACGUCAUCAUCCAACCCAAUAAAUUUCAGGAGUCCAGAUGCCGAUCCAAAAAAUCGAGUACAUAUGCCACCGUUCCCCAAUUCACACAGGUAAUGUCGAACUUGCAUCUUCUAUGCGAUCUCCUCAGCCAUCUAUUUAAAACUUUCUUGAUUUUUUAUUUGUUUGGACUUUUGAGUGAUGAAUUACUGGCCGAUAGUUUCCCUAUUUAAUGAGUUGUUCGGUGUUCGAUGAACGUACAUGUUGCAACCUAUUUAAGAAAUUAGCGAUGACUAAUUUUGACUGAAAUAAUGAAAUAGCUGUUGAUGAGCUGUGCUAAUGAUCCGGUAAUCAGAUCAGUCGACAGAUCAUAGACCCUUAUCUAUGACUUUUCUCUAAAUCUAAAUACAAACUAGCAAAUAUAAUAUUUAUAAUUUUCCAAUUUACUGUAUGUAUGUCCGUAUGCACUACAUAUAGUCUGCAGCUUACCUUUUCUUUUACCAAUGACAUGGUUCAAGCUGUUGACAAUGCGAAGGAAGCAUCCAAAGUCAAGGUCAGGAUAAUCAGACUUUGGGAUGGCCUAAAUCCCAACAGACAUGAUAGUUAUUAAUAAAGGUCGGAAUAAAUAUUCCCCUCGCAAAUAAUAUUGGUAUUUAUGGGUAUUCCCAGAGAGCUCUCACAUUUACUAUAAACGUUAACUAAAAGAUCUGUAGUUCAUUAGGUCGAUCGUAUUACCAUGACUUGAUCAAUCAAGAAUUUGUGUUAAAACCAAUAUUAGUUGCGCACUUCAGGGACGCUCGCACAUUAGGAAGAAAGAUCUUAACACCCACUAGAACGGAUACCCUCAUCUCAAUCAGGCGGUAAGCCCCAUCUCAAUCGGGCACAGCGUCCGUCACAGGCUAGAAGUCACUGAUGUGAAGAGUUAUCUCAAUCGGGCAAACGGCCGUCACGAAUGAAUAUAUCUCAAUCGGGCCCUAAGUAAAGCCCGUCACCGAUAGCUUUGAUCCAGACGACCAGUCAAACUAUAGCCCGUCACAGAUGACCUAUCUCUAUCGGGCCACAACUAGCGCCCGUCACAGAUGACUACUAACCUUUAUUGGGCCUAAACUAGAGCCCGUCACAGAUGAUUCUCAUCUCAAUCGGGCCUAAACUAUAGCCCGUCAAAGAUGACUGAUGACCUCAAUCAGACCUAAACUAGAGCCCGUCACAGAUGACUGCUGACCUCAAUCGGGCCUAAGCUAAAGCCCGUCACAGAUGAUCUCAUCUCAAUCGGGCAUUUAGUUAUGGCUCGUCACAGAUGACUAUAAUCCACAAAAAAAAUAAAAUUUGUUUUUUGGCUAGCCUCAGGCCUUUGCUAGCCAUGCCCGCUGCAAAAAUGACAGAAACAAACACAGAUAUCCAAUAUCCCCAGCUCCCCAGCAUCACCCAUUCAUACAUAUGCAUUCACAUACACAGACAUCAACAUAUUUCACACAACCACACAUUCACAGCCAUAUCAUAUUUCACAUCCAUUCACAUAUUUCACAUCCAUUCAAAUAUUUAUCAUAUUUCACCUGCAAAACCGAGUUAAUUGGAUCAAAUAUUUAUUUAGCAAGUCUUAACAUAAACAUAUGAAAUAUAUACAUAAAUAUAAGCAUCACAGUUACAUCACCACAGUUGCAUAAUAAGUGUUCAUCAUUGCCUAAACAUAGAAGUUCAACAUUGUUCAUCGUUUUAGUUUAAGCCUAAACAUUCCUUUGGGGUUAAUUAUUUCGCGGAGGAUGAAGCUGGCUAUCUCCUCGCGAACCUCCUCAAAGCUGGUAGUCAGAGACUUGGUUAUUGUGCCCUACAUAGUCAUAAUUCCAGAUUAGUUGAUCGAUCAUAUAUAAGUACUAAAAUGUAGUUAGUCUAUCACAAUUGAGACCACCGACCUCAAACUCAGCCAAAGUCUUCACCUUUUCUCUAUACAGAAGUCGCAUGUUGUGGCACACAUGGAAUCCGCACUGGUCACCUAUUUGUUGCUUCACCGGGAAGUCUUUUUUGUGGAUGAGGGUGUCAUGUCCUGUCUUCCUGAGGCCUCCUCUUUGCACGUAUUGGGCCCACGCUUCAUCUAUCGCUAGUUGAAUUGGGGUCCAUUCAUAUGCGUUCUUAUCAAUUCUGGAGUUCAGGUAAUGACAUGUACUCCAUUUAGGUGUUAUGACCAGAAGGAUCCAAUGGGCACUGCGGCAUUAAUAUAGUGAAAGUUAAUUAAGUACUCAAGGAAUGUGUCAUGCUGUUGUGUAUAUUUAGUUAACACACUUACUAUUGAUUAUAGGCACACAUAAUGUACUCCUUGUCUCGGCGGGACCACAAGGUGUCGUAGAUGUAGUUGACCAUUCCUUGACGGUCAUUCUGGAGAUUUGUGACAGUGACCACUUGUGGAUCAAGGAAGGCAACUUCCGGUGCAUGCUUCUGACACCAUUGCCAACUUAACCUACACACAGGAUCAACGAUCUUGUAAGCAAGUUAAACCGAUUGUUAUUAACAGAAUGAGUUGGGCGACAAUACUUACAAGGAGUAGCACUUAAGGAGGCUUGUGUCCACCACUCGGAGCCUGUAGAGGUCGAAAAGAUCGUUGAAGUCGACCACGAUAUAAUUUGUUGGAUCAAGGAAUGGCUUUCCAUCGUGCUGUCCAAGGAUAUCGGUAGCUUUACUUGGCUUCCUGGCGUUAGAUUUCUCCAUGUAGUAUAAGUGAAGGUCCUUGCAAGCGGUGCCCAUUGCGGCAAGCACGUCAUCUCCAACCAAUGGCAUGCCUAGUUGGAACUCCUGUGGAGCGACGUAUUUCUUCUUGACCUCUUUGCCCUUAGUCUCUUCCUGGCCCUUGCCCAGAUCUAGCUUUCUUGGAGCUAGAAGCGAGGCCUGCACCUUUCCUCCCCUUCCUCUCCCCUUUGCUUCGGGUUUAUCGAGAGUAAUUCUCUGAGGGGAGGAGUGUGCCUUCCUGCUCUUCUUCAUCGGUGGGGGUUCAUGAAUCGCCUUGCUGUCGGCCUCCGUUCGGUCCUCCCCAAAAUCCGUGUCAUACUGCAACUGCAAAUCGUAAGAUUGUGCAUGACGAUCUUGAGCAGGAGGGGCUGAAGGAGCAGAGGCGGGUCUCUUUGGUGGACGACCGCCUGGUGCAGUGGUUGGCCUCGCUGUAACCCUGAUCUCAAUGAGGUCCUUGGGCCAUUGGAUGAAGGUACCACGGGCAUUUCCUAGUGAGAGGACCUCGUCGUUCGAUGGAUACUUCAGAGGGAACAGCUUGUAUCCGGGCUUCACCGAGUCGACUUGAACUUUUGCACAGUCGGCCCUGAGUUGCGCUCCAUGCACUCUUGUCUCUGGGGUCGGCUUGUACGCAAGUCCCUCGGCUGCUAGAACAGUGAAGGUCGGCAUUACCCUAACUGUGAGGGUGCAGCUCGUUGGUUCCUGCGAUAGAUUAAUCAAUUUUUUUAGAAUAUUAUAUAUCAUAUGGAUUCGUUACGUCUUUCAUGUAUUGAGUAAGUUCACGGUUACCGUUAUGUGGUCGACGGCGCUGUCGACCAAUGUUGGAUUUUCCGCCAACUCAGUUGAUGCGCAACUGCUACGUUUUUCGGUGGGACUUCCUAACUCUUUGUGCGCAGCAGCAGCGGCGGCCUGGGGGAUCUGUUGCUCUUCUCGGAUCUCUUGCCUAAUCUUGGCCCUCAUCGACUCGAGCUUUUCGUCGAAUUCAGAUGUCAGCUCAGCUCGUAUCGACUCCCGGAUCUUGGCUUCAAGGCGUGCAUCUUUCUCCGCCUUGUUGGAAGUCCGCUUCUUGUACUGCCACGCGUAGUCUGGAAAUCCAUAAUUCCAGGGAACAGAAGACCCAACGCCCCGUGUCCGUCCACGGUGUUCCUUGUUGCCCAACGCUUUCGUGAGGAGGUCGUCCUCGCGUCUUUGAGAGCAGGCCUCUUGCGAGGCUUGUUGCUCGGCAACCAACUCCUUCUGCAUUACAAUUUAGUGGGGUCAAAUAAACUGCACGAUGGGAAACAAUGCGAACAUCUAGUUUGAUUAGACACUUACUAUAGCUUCGUAUACUCGUUGAUCUUCUGCAUUUGGCAUGAAGAUUGUGCCAUCAUCAUGUUUCUGGUACCUAGCCCUGGCCCAGUUCCUAGCCCGAGGGUGUGGGAUAUCGCCAAACACGAGCGGUGUGCACGAUUCCUCCGCUUCUUCAUCCUCACGCUGCCAUUCCUCUUCCUUACCGGCAUAUCCGGCGGUACCAAGCCGGUGCGGAUGCUGGUUCCUGGUCUGGAGCAAGCGAUAUGCCUCGCUUCUAGCUCUGGACUCGGGGGUCGACUUCUUCGCAUGGAAUUCUGACUAGACCUGUUCCGUGAUCCAAGGAAAUUUUUCUCUUGGAUCUGGAUUUGCCGGGUUGUAGACGAACUCGCCGACUAGCUUAGUCUUGAAGUUCUUCCAAGCAGUGCCCAUAACCUUGAAAGCAGCCCGCCUGAGACGGUCCUCAUGCUCUGCAGGAUAAUCAAAGCUCUCCUUGAACGUUAGCCAAGCAAUGUCCUUCUCUGUGGCCGGCAUGAGCUUGAAGUCGUCUUGCAGAAUACUGAAUUUCUGCCUCCCUAUGACCCCGCAGAUAGACCUAAAUUGGCUCAAUAUUUUCCUUGGAGAUGUCGGCAACCCUACGGCGUCCACCGCUGUUAUGCGGAACCGUUCCUUAGGAAUUUUGUUCCUUGUCCUAGGAGUACGUUCCCUUGAGGACCCACUAGUUGUCGUUGACAUUGGUUCGCCUUGCUAAGACAUUGUCUACUUUUUUCCAAAAAAACAAAAAAAACACAAUUGAGUGCUACAAUCUAUUACAAUGAAUUGAAUGUCACUUAUAAAAAUAAAUGAAACAUAUAAAUAAACUAAAUUGCGCAUAUCACAAUGAUAGAAUGAAUUGAAUGGCACAUAUAAAUAAAUUAAACAUAUCAUCAAAUCCUAAAAUCAUAAAUUCACCUCAUACCAUCUAUUCAUCCACAUAUCAUGCAUCUAUCACUAAAUUGAUUAAUGCACCACAUUCCAUCUAUUCAUCAUCAUGUCAUCAAUCAAAAAAAUCAUUCGUUUACCAUAUAUCAUCAAUCCCUAAAAUCAUCUAUCAGUAAAAUCAUCUAUCACUAAAUUCAUUAAUGAACCACAUUCCAUCUAUUCAUCAUCAUGUCAUCAAUCACUAAAAUCAUUCGUUCACCACAUAUCAUCAAUCCCUAAAAUCAUCUAUCACUAAAAUCAUCUAUCACUAAAUUCAUUAAUGCACCACAUUCCAUCUAUUCAUCAUCAAGUCAUCAAUCACUAAAAUCAUCUAUCACUAAAUUCAUCCCAACAUCCACAUUUCAUCCCAACAUCCACAUUUUCAUUAUCAACCACAUGCAAGUAGCAGAGGGAGGCGCGUUGGAGGACUCACAUGAGGUCGGUCGGGGGGGCUCGGUGGUGGCGGCGGCGGGCUCGGUGGAGGGCGUCGCCGGUCGGUGGAGGCGGCGGCUGGCUCGGUGCAGGCGGCGGGCUCGGCGAAGGAGGAGUUCACGGCGGCGGCGCCGGUCGGUGUAGAUGCCGGUCGGGGAGGUCGGCAUCGGGCCGACGUCGCCGGCCUCGGUGGGGGCUGCUGUUCGUGUCGGUGAAGAGGCAGGCGGCGACGACGAGGAAGGCCGACGCCGGUCGGUGUAGAGACUCGGUGGCGGCGGCGGCGGGCUCGGUGGAGGCGGCGGGCUCGGUGGCGGUGGCGGCGGGCUCGGUGGAGGCGGCGGGCUCGGUGGCGGUGGCGGCGGGCUCAGUGGAGGCGGCGGGCUCGGCGGCGGUGGUGGCGGUCUCGGUGGCGGUGGCGGCGAGGGAGGACGACGGCGGCGAAGGAGGAGUUGGCGGCGGCGCUAGGGUUCUAAGGAGGCGGGAAACUGUAGCGGGACUUAGAAAAAUUUUCGAUUCGAUCUGAGAAACCCUAGUUAUAUUAGAGUGAUGAGUCAUCUCAAUCGGGCUUUGCCGUAGAGCCCGUCACAGAUGACUCAUCGGUGACGGGCUCCAUACUAAUGCCCGAUUGAGAUGACAUUCAGGCCCGUCACGGAUGACUCAUCUGUGACGGGCCCUAAGAUAAUGCCCGAUAGAGAUAGAUUAAUCUCUAUCGGGCUUGAACUAAGGCCUGUCACCGAUGACUAUUUUUCCAUUUCCCAGAUAAGUCUUUAUAUUUGUGAGUACAAAAUAUAUAGCUACUGUAUAAUAAUUCAUUUUAUUAGUCAUAACACAUUUUUGGAUAGUAAAUGAUUUCAAAUCGAAAUAUGGUCAACAACAAAAUUGAUCUUCUCAUCAAGAUCUACAACUUUUAUUUUGGUCAUUUAUCUAUAUAACUUUGUUUCUAACAACUUGAAAUUGAUUUUGACAAUAUGACAAAUGUAAACAACAUUUGUAAAUAUUACAUGACUUUAAAUGGGAAAGCCAUAAACAGCUAACUUGUACAGCUAAUCAAGAUCUACAACUUUUAUUUUGGUCACUUCUUCAUCCGACAAAGUGAUAGUACCAAUGUUUACAAAAUUGACAUAUCUGUGUUGAUAUUUAUAAACCAGAUGAGAGAAAUGUGAUUUUUGUGAAUAAUAUAACUAUCACUUUGUCGGAUGAAGAAGUAACCAAAAUAAAAGUUGUAGAUUUUGAUGAGAGGAUCAACUUUGUUGUUGACCAUAUUUCCAUUUGAAAUCAUUUAGUAUUUACUCAUGUCACCGAAAGGAUUCAUGCCAUCCGUACAAAGACAUAUCCUCACGUUUCUAGGGUCGGCAGCAAAGUCUUUGUGUUUUCGAUCUAUAUUCCUCCAUUCAAUCGAAUCCGCUGGGUGUCUAAGCAUACCAUCAUUCCUUCUUUCCAUGGCGUGCCAACGUACUAACUUCGCUUCGUUCGGGUUGGCAAAGAUUCUCUUGAAACGAUCAAUGAUAGGUAGAUACCACACAACCUUUGCCGGACCACCCCUCUUUGACUUAUUUCCUUUGUGAGCACUUUUCUUUCGCUUGUAUCGAGAAGCAUUGCAGACAGGACAAGCAUCCAAGUCCGCAUAUUGCUUGUGGUACAAUAUGCAUAUGCAGUUGUUGGGACAAGCGUGAAUUCUACGGACCUCUAACCCCAGUGGACACAGAACCUGCUUUGCUCCGUAUGUCAUCUCGGGCAAUGUGUUCUCAACAGGAAGCAUAGCCUUCAAAAUUCCUAAAAGAUCUGUGAAACUCUUGUCUGUCCAUCCACUACUUGCCUUAAGCUUCAUUAGGUCCAAGGUAACUGACAACUUAGUGUGUUUUGCUUUGCAUCCAGCGUACAAAGGCGUCUCGGAAUCACUUACCAACCUGCUGAAUUUCAUUCCAUCUCUCUCAUUCUGGGCUGGGUCCUCAACGUCACGUAACAUGUCUUGCAGCAGAUCGUGAUCCACAUCAACCAUUUCACCGCCCAAUGGAGAAGGUAUAAACAUGUCAUGCUCAUUUUCAUCUUCCUGAUUAUGCGCACCACUUCUGUUUGCUGCUGCUCCACUUCCUGAUUCUUGCUCUCCAUGCUUCACCCAACAUGUAUAGCCCUCCAUGAAUCCUCGUUGUAUCAGAUGACCGUGUACGUCCUCUCCGCUAUCAAACAUAUUCUCGUUCUUGCAAUCUGCACAUGGACAACACAUGUAAUCACUGUUUCUUCUUAUCCGAUCCUCCUCCGCGGCGUUCAUAAAAUUUAUUACGCCCUUUCGGUACUCCGUAGAAUGACGUUUCAAAUUUUUGGCAUACAUCCAACUUCGAUCAAUUGCUACAAAAAAAACAAAUUAGAGGCACAUAUUAUAAGAUCAGUAUUGCAAAAGUAAGACAUGAUGAAAUUGCUCAAUUAAUGAUUUAUAUUACUGACUUGAUUGAUCCAUUUUGAUCACUUUUGGGAAUUUAAUUUCUGUUUUCCUUGGAAAAAGGACAAAAAAUCGCCCCCUACAGCCUCCCACCAAAAUAGUGAACAGUGGGAUAUAGUUACACUAGGUGGUGGGGGUAUUUAUACUGUGCAACAAAUAUUUGUAACGGCCCUAAAACAAUCAACCGUGACGGGCAUACAAGUAAUCUCUAUCGGGCCUUAAUAAAAGGCCGUCAAAAAAUAGUGUCAUCUGUGACGGGCAAUAAACUUAUCUCAAUCGGGCCUCUAGUUGGAGCCCGUCACAGAUGACCCUCAUCUGUGACGGGCUUCUUUUAGGGCCCGAUUGAGAUAUGGAACCCUCAUCUCAAUCGGGCCUCAACUAUAGCCCGUCACAUAUAAGUGUCAUCCGUGACGGGCUUUAGUUUUAUGCCGAUAUACCAUGGCUGUGCGACCAUAUCUCAAUUGGGCAAAACUUCGGCCCGAUUGAGAUUACUUCCUUGUGACGGCCCGCAAAUUCCAGUCUUGUUAUGGGCCGUCACAGAUGGAAGGAUAUGUACUAGUGACCAUUGAUUAGGUGGUUUACAUUGCUAUGAUAUUCGAUCUAUAUGAAUUCGUGUAGAUUAAAAUAUGGCCCGGAAAGUAACAUGGACUCUUUAGUUUUAUUUUUUUUAAAAUUAAUAAUUCUGAAAUCAGACAUCAUAAAAGACAGGGUUUGCUCUCAAUUUAGAAAUUUGUUAAUUUAAUUGCAUUUUUUAAAUUCAUAAUUAGCAAGUUGUAACUUAUGUGAACUCCAAACCAUGUACAACUAAAAUGUAUUAUUUACUAUUUUUAGAAUUAUUAAAUCAUAAAAGUUAUAAUUGAUACUUCAAAAAUGUAUUAUUUCUAAAUUUACAAAUGAUUAAAUCACGAACAAUCUAUAACCGUGGGUCUGGACAGAGUACAAUUUUAUAUAUUAUUUAAGAAAUUAUUAAAUCAUAUUUUUUUUAGAGUUGAAAAUAUAAAUCAUGUACUUUACAAGACUCCAACUUGAAAACGUGUAACAUUCAGCAAAAUCUGAUGACCAACAUAUUCAUAACUUGAUUAUAUUUUUAAUAUUUAUAUUAUUAAUAACUAUAGCCCGUGCAUCGCACGGGUUAGCGUCUAGUACCUAUAAUAAAUAGGUGCAAGUUUUUAAUAUUAAAGGUUUCGUUUUAAAUAAAAACAACACAAAAUACAAUGGAUGUCGGUUUUUAUUUAGAAUCGACACAUAUAAUUACUUCAAGGUGCCAAUUUUUUACGAUUUCAACCCGCGGAGGUGGGAAAAGGCCUAUAGGUGCCAGUUUUAGCACUUAUGACACCUAUUUGAUGUUUUGUAGUAGUGCCAUAUGAGGCGAGGGGAAUGGGGCACAUGUGGAUGACAAAAAAGUACACUAACCCUAAGCAGUGGCAGUUUUCGCAAUGUAUCAGUUAUCCGUUUUUUAUCUUGUCCGUCUCCAUGAAAUUAGCACUAUAAUCAGUUGAUGGGUCAAUAGGUUGGAAAACAUAGCUGUUUAGCUUAUAAUUGCAGGUGCAAAACUUGAAAAUAUAUUCCUAUUAUUGACUGUGUACAUAGGAGACCGGAAAGUACAAGGUUUACUUGGACUGCUAUUUGUAUAGCAAGAUAAUUGUUGUACAUAGUACUCUUAUUUUACUAUAAAAUAUCACUAUGUGUUACCAAAUCAACUGGUGCUUCGGCGCUUCCUUGUAGUUGUUGUAGAUCCAUUCUUGUCAUGAAAUAAAGCUGUAGCAGAAGAUACAUACUUAGUAUAAGGUGAUAUUCGUGAUUCCCACGUUGCUAUUUCAAAAUCACCACCUGAAAUUGCCACCGAUCUAGCUAUUACCUCUUUGAACGAUAUACUUGGUUUCUUAUAGUUUGGAAUAUCAUCCCUUUCUACUCGAGGUGGCUUUACAAGAAUGCAGGCGUGAGUAGGAUAAGAUGUCAUAAAUUCGGUGCUAUCUACUGGCUGCUCUUUCUCAAUGAUAUCUUUCGGAUGCUCACCAUAUUUCAAAAAGUUGUUCUUCACCAUCCUCUCGAAGCGUCGCAAUAUUCUAAGCCAGAAGUGAACAUUAUGGUUCCUUCUAAGCAUGUCAGAUAUCAUAUUGGCUGUUAUCAAUGAUCCACCCAAUACUACUGCAAGAUCAUUUGCAACUGAGACCAUCUUUGGAUGGUCCUUUUGGUCGGUCGCUAGCAUCUUGAAAAGGUAGCUGUACUCCUCCUGUGAUAAACUAUUUAGAUGAACUGCCUUUGCUGUUCCGAACCUUGCAAGAUUUUCAAUCCUACUUAUGAUUACCACUUUGCUUCCUCCAGCUGUCAUCUGACUUACAGUAGAAUAGAAGUUUACCCAAUCAUUUUCAUCUAUGUCCGUAAAAUAUUCACGAACAAUCAAUGUCCUCUCCAUUUUGAACUUUGCAUGUGCUAUUGAUCCGCAGCUGCUAUCUCCAUUGAUGUACAAAAUAGAAGAAAAGUAUGAUCUGAUCCGCUCAUCAUUGCAGACAUGGCUGAUCAAGGAUUUCUUUCCUACCCUGCAACCACCAAUGAUUGGAAGAACAAGACGAGCACCCUGGUUACCUGGAUUUUGCAAUAAAAAAUUGAUAAUUUCCUGCUUCUCGACAUGAUGAGCAAACACACAAUUAUCGGUGUAAAGGUAAGCAUCAUAGGGUCGGCGACACAUGCAUUCACAUCUGGCUAGGAAUACAACAAACUCUUUCACUCUACCUCCAUCUGAAGUAUUUAUGUGUUUUUUGUGCAGCUCUCUAAAAAGCUUGCUUCCCAUCUCAGAACAGCCACCCUUAUAUAUAAUUAGCUGGAAAUGGUUCAGAGCAAAACCAGCAGCCAUUUUAUCCACAGCUGUUUUCAAGGGAUGAGAAAAGUGACUGCAAUUUGCCAAGUUUAAAGUUCUCUAUUCAAUACUAUUGGUCGUUGAUUGCUUUGAAUAUCUGUUCCUUAAUUUUUUACCAUCACACACUUUCUUGUAUGAAAUAUUAAUUAACUGGACUAUUUGAAGAAACUAGUAUUUUUCUUGCUAACGUACAUGGCUAGGUGUGAAAAUUUCUAAAGACUAUGAGGGACCAUUUGGACCAUUUAUGAAAGGAAAGCAACAAGUUGAUUAUGGGAAGCUAGAAUUCG